rnacentral:rRNA from 1 species
GGCUAACGCCGGGGCAGGAGGGGGGGGAAGGAGGGGGGGGCAAGCGUUGUUGGGGAUUACGUGGCGGAAAGGGCGCGUAGGUGGCCAACUAAGGCAGACGUGAAAUCCCUCGGCGUAACCGGGGAACUGCGUCUGAUACUGGAUGGCUUGAGGUUGGGAGAGGGAUGCGGAAUUCCAGGUGUAGCGGUGAAAUGCGUAGAUAUCUGGAGGAACACCGGUGGCGAAGGCGGCAUCCUGGACCAAUUCUGACGCUGAGGAGCGAAAGCCAGGGGAGCAAACGGGAUUAGAACCCCAGUAGUC